AACGCACAUUGCGCCCUUUGGUAUUCCAAAGGGCAUGCCUGUUCGAGCGUCAUUUGUACCCUCAAGCUUUGCUUGGUGUUGGGCGUCUUUUGUCUCCAGUUCGCUGGAGACUCGCCUUAAAGUCAUUGGCAGCCGGCCUACUGGUUUCGGAGCGCAGCACAAGUCGCGCUCUUCGCCAGCCAAGGUCAGCGUCCAGCAAGCCUUUUUUUCAACCUUUGACCUCGGAUCAGGUAGGGAUACCCGCUGAACUUAA
rnacentral:misc_RNA from 4 species